GACGAACGCUGGCGGCGUGCUUAACACAUGCAAGUCGAACGGAAAGGCCCUGCUUUUGUGGGGUGCUCGAGUGGCGAACGGGUGAGUAACACGUGAGUAACCUGCCCUUGACUUUGGGAUAACUUCAGGAAACUGGGGCUAAUACCGGAUAGGAGCUCCUGCUGCAUGGUGGGGGUUGGAAAGUUUCGGCGGUUGGGGAUGGACUCGCGGCUUAUCAGCUUGUUGGUGGGGUAGUGGCUUACCAAGGCUUUGACGGGUAGCCGGCCUGAGAGGGUGGCCGGCCACAUUGGGACUGAGAUACGGCCCAGACUCCUACGGGAGGCAGCAGUGGGGAAUAUUGCACAGUGGGCGGAAGCCUGAUGCAGCAACGCCGCGUGCGGGAUGACGGCCUUCGGGUUGUGAACCGCUUUCGCCUGUGACGAAGCGUGAGUGACGGUAAUGGGUAAAGAAGCACCGGCUAACUACGUG
rnacentral:rRNA from 1 species